rnacentral:rRNA from 1 species
GAUGAACGCUGGCGGCGUGCCUAAUACAUGCAAGUCGAGCGAACGGACGAGAAGCUUGCUUCUCUGAUGUUAGCGGCGGACGGGUGAGUAACACGUGGAUAACCUACCUAUAAGACUGGGAUAACUUCGGGAAACCGGAGCUAAUACCGGAUAAUAUUUUGAACCGCAUGGUUCAAAAGUGAAAGACGGUCUUGCUGUCACUUAUAGAUGGAUCCGCGCUGCAUUAGCUAGUUGGUAAGGUAACGGCUUACCAAGGCAACGAUGCAUAGCCGACCUGAGAGGGUGAUCGGCCACACUGGAACUGAGACACGGUCCAGACUCCUACGGGAGGCAGCAGUAGGGAAUCUUCCGCAAUGGGCGAAAGCCUGACGGAGCAACGCCGCGUGAGUGAUGAAGGUCUUCGGAUCGUAAAACUCUGUUAUUAGGGAAGAACAUAUGUGUAAGUAACUGUGCACAUCUUGACGGUACCUAAUCAGAAAGCCACGGCUAACUACGUGCCAGCAGCCGCGGUAAUACGUAGGUGGCAAGCGUUAUCCGGAAUUAUUGGGCGUAAAGCGCGCGUAGGCGGUUUUUUAAGUCUGAUGUGAAAGCCCACGGCUCAACCGUGGAGGGUCAUUGGAAACUGGAAAACUUGAGUGCAGAAGAGGAAAGUGGAAUUCCAUGUGUAGCGGUGAAAUGCGCAGAGAUAUGGAGGAACACCAGUGGCGAAGGCGACUUUCUGGUCUGUAACUGACGCUGAUGUGCGAAAGCGUGGGGAUCAAACAGGAUUAGAUACCCUGGUAGUCCACGCCGUAAACGAUGAGUGCUAAGUGUUAGGGGGUUUCCGCCCCUUAGUGCUGCAGCUAACGCAUUAAGCACUCCGCCUGGGGAGUACGACCGCAAGGUUGAAACUCAAAGGAAUUGACGGGGACCCGCACAAGCGGUGGAGCAUGUGGUUUAAUUCGAAGCAACGCGAAGAACCUUACCAAAUCUUGACAUCCUUUGACAACUCUAGAGAUAGAGCCUUCCCCUUCGGGGGACAAAGUGACAGGUGGUGCAUGGUUGUCGUCAGCUCGUGUCGUGAGAUGUUGGGUUAAGUCCCGCAACGAGCGCAACCCUUAAGCUUAGUUGCCAUCAUUAAGUUGGGCACUCUAAGUUGACUGCCGGUGACAAGCCGGAGGAAGGUGGGGAUGACGUCAAAUCAUCAUUGCCCUUAUGAUUUGGGCUACACACGUGCUACAAUGGACAAUACAAAGGGCAGCGAAACCGUGAGGUCAAGCAAAUCCCAUAAAGGUGUUCUCCAGUUCCGAUGGAGUCUGCCACUCCACCACCUGAAGCUGGAAUCCCUAGUAAUCGUAAAUCAACUUGGCUACGGGAAUACGUUCCCGGG